AAAACUUCUCCAAAUCGAAGCGGCCUGCAGUUCGUGACCCUUGAUCCCCUCAGUUCGUGACCCUUGAAAAUCGGAACCUUCACAAAUUGGAGAAGCCUUCAGUUCGAUCAGAGUAAUUCCCUAAAAACCUUUUACUGAAUUCUUCAUUUCUAUUUUUUUUUUAAUUUAGGUAUUUUUGUUGUUAAUAGAACCCUUAAUUUGAAAUUUGUUACUUUUGUGCACUGCUCAAUGUUGUGUCUGUUUUUGGAUUAGUGUGAAUUUGGGACAAGCUUAAUGCAUUUCAGUUUUGUUAUGUUAGAUUAAAAUGAAUUUUCACUUGCCUAGACAAUGAAGGUAACCUUUUUGGUCCAAUGAAAUACAUAAGAUUCCUCACAUUACUAUUCUGAUUAAAUUCUUCCUAGAAGAGAGUAAAGUAGUUGGCACGAAGAUGAUUUGAAUGGAGAUGCCUUAGGGUAUUUAUAGGUAAGAAAUCCUGCUGUACUAGUUGAUAUAUACCACUGUUAAAAUACUGCAACAAUCACCAGUCCAGUCGUACUAUUUUUUGUAAACUUGUUACAAAUGUGGAUAUAUACAGUAUUGUACUUUGUCUGGUAUUCCAGACAAAUAGUAGCAUUCUCAGCAUUUUGGACUUCGUUAAUAUAGAUAUGUUUAUUUCUUUGUGGCUCAACUUGUAAUAUCAUGACCUAAGUGACAAUGCCAAUUCACUAAUAUGGAAAAGAACAAAAAUGAAUGGAAUUUCCAUGUCUUUUUUGGAACUAGGUAAAUUUGUUUGAUGCAUUUGUAUAUAAACCUUUUAAGAUUUUGAAAAUAGAUAAUGUGGGCUAAACCCAUUCUAUGGUUUGCAGCCUGACUAGGUACUUGUUGGUAAGGUUAAAUUACAAAUAUUGUGAAUUUGUGCUAUCUGUUUUCUUUAGUUUUUCUGUUAUUAUCAAUCUGCCCAAGUUAUUUGCAAUGAGCUGCUUGUUCCAGAUUUAUGACAUAACUACAGUUGUCCACCUUCCUGUCUAUUCUUUACAUUACAGUUUACAAAUUUUGGUAGUUUUCCAUUUGCAGAUGUAGUAUCUCACAUCAUGGCAUGCUAUGUGUGGAAAUCAUUCGGGAUCCCAUUGAUGAAUGUCAAUCCAAUGUCAAGCUGGGGUUACUGGCCAACUUAAUUUUGAUGGAGCGUGUCCUGAACACUGCUCCCACCCCAUCUUCUGCUGUGGGGAUUGAGUACUAGUUUGGCGACUGAGUUGUCAGCACAGGCUUAAUUAGUUUUCCUUUUUCUUCUGUUGUAGCCUCUCGGACACUUGAAAGAAAUGGAAAUAGCAAGCAGUACUGCAUUGUCAUUUGUUUACCCAUGAGACAUGUUAAUGCUGAGUAUUCUUGAUGUCCACUAGUUAUUGUAACAUUAUUGAAUAGGUGUUUGUUAUUGCUUUGGGAUGUAGAUUGUAAAAUCAAUUGCUUUGAUGAUUGCAUUUGGUAAUACCCCAAAGUUCUGAUUAUUUGAGAAGAUUCUUAGUUUUGGUUUGGUAUUUUGUACAUGCACAAGUAACAAUGAUGCAAAAUUUUAUCAUGUGUAAUGUUUGAGUACAAUAUGUUUGUUCUUCG
rnacentral:lncRNA from 1 species